AUGUAUCAUUAUGUUUCCUCUUUUUUUCAUAUAUUUAUUUCUGUAUAUAUUUCUAUCUGUGCAUAAUAUUUAGGUGGGUGUUUCUACCACAGGGCCAAACAACACUGGUGGCAUCCAUUUUUUGGGGGGAGCUGGAAUGCAAAACAACCCCAUUUUGUCAUUUCCUGCCCAGAAGUUCUAAGUUCUGAGGACUACUGAAACGCAGCACUAGUUCCGGAUCAUGGGUCCCAAACUGCCCCAAAAAAUUAAUAGGGCCCAAUCCCAAUACUUGCACUGUGCUCUAUGAUCUUCUGUGAAAUGCACUUGGUGGAGGUGUGCAGUAAGGCUUCGAGUGUGUGGUAUACAAAUGUGCAAAUCUUUGUCAAAUUGGGACAGGGAGCAUUGCGCCAUCGACCGCAACGCAUGCCGGGAUGCUGGUCGCUGUGCCAGGCCCGGAGUGGCUAAUCGGGAAGGUCUGGAGAAUUCCCGGUGGGCCGCGCGAUGUUUGGGCCGCAUGGGCCGGUGCUCUCGUUUUUGUUUUAUCAUUUUGUUUUUAUUUUUUGGUGCCGGUGUUCAGUCAUGGCACUGAGGCCGCCGGGCUGAUCACAUACGCUCCUCCCGGCUGUCUACCUGCAGGCUGCAGCUCGUUUUCUUUUUCCCCCGUAUGCGCCUGUGCGCACCACGUGACCACGCAGUUGACGGAGAGAUGGAAAGUAGAAAGAGCAAGGGUGGCGCGGAGAAGGCAAGAAUUAAAAAGAGGAACGCGCUGGAAACAGAUGCAGCUAAAUGUGCAAAAAUGAGCACCUUUUUUUCUCAAACAAGCUUGCGGUCUUUAACUUCAAAUGAAGAUAAAACGGCCCACAAGAUCCAGUAGGCCUAAUAAGCACCAGGCAGAAACCCACCAUUCCAGAGCGGGCAUGUACAGUGUCAGAAGAAGAGCCAGGAGCCAGCAGUGAGGGUAUUGCUCCUGUUGGGAUAGAAGGUGAGCCAACUCAUGUGCAAACAAGCAAACAUCAGUUUCAUUAUAAUAAUUUUAAUGUCCAAAUAAUAGUAGUGACCUGAUGUAUUUCUGUUAGUAAAUGCACAAAGCCCACAACAGAUCGCUAUUAGAAUGAAAGUAAAAUGAAAUAAGCCUGCAUAUUUUGCCAUAGAAAAUAUUUUAAUUGGUUACAAAAAUGUGUUUUCCAUAUCAAAUGUGCUAAAGCUUUACAGAUGAUUAUUUUAAUUGUGUGCAGGUGAGUCUAGGGAAACUGGAAAAAGUGUGAAAGGGAGUGCUGAGUCAUUUCAUUUUAAAGGUUUGAAAAUCUCAGAACAGCUGUUUGAACAGAAGGUGGAUUGUUAUAUUGUUAGAGAAAGUGUUGUAAAGAACAAUGUUGGAGAUGUGCACUGAUGUUCAAAUAAAGUAAAGCAACUCUUUCUUGCGCUGAAUUACAAGGCUUUACCGAGUAGUGUGCUUUUGUAGACUAUACAUAUAAAGUUCUAACAUGAUUUUAAUAAUAAUUCGUUAAGUGGGCCGGUCUGGGGUCUGAAACUCCAGGGCUGAAAAUGUGUCCCACUCCGGCCCUGCGCUGUGCUACUUUUAUUUUUAAAAAAUACCUUUAUUAACAACUUUCAAACAAACAAACAAUUAUUUGAAAUUUAUUUACAUCAAUUGCUGUCUUGUCCAAAACAUUCAGAGCAUCAACCAAUCAUCCUAAAAUGAACUACUUUCAUUUGAAAAUACAUAUUUUCAGAAAAGACGAUUUAGCCAUUUUUCCCACAACAAUGGAUUGUGGGUAUUACCCUUCACCCAAGUCCACAUCAAUGCAGACUUGGGUGAAGGGGGGAUCAAGGGUGCAUUUGAGAAUUGGGACACCCUACACACUCGCACCCCUGACAGAGAUUGUGCAAUUGAAGGGCGCAAGUGUGGAAGUGCAAGUAUUGGGAUUGGGCCUAAGAGUCUAUGAGAUGACAAAGAUUAUUUUCUGAUCCCAAUUUAUGUGCCAUUGAUUUCACAUAUGCUGUCAGUGAAUUUUAAA